rnacentral:rRNA from 1 species
UACAGAGGUCUCAAGCGUUGUUCGGAUUCAUUGGGCGUAAAGGGUGCGUAGGCGGCUCAGUAAGUCGGGUGUGAAAACUCCAGGCUCAACCUGGAGACGCCACCUGAUACUGCUGUGGCUAGAGUCCGGUAGGGGAGCAUGGAAUUCCUGGUGUAGCGGUGAAAUGCGCAGAUAUCAGGAGGAACACCAGUGGCGAAGGCGGUGCUCUGGGCCGGAACUGACGCUGAGGAGCGAAAGCGUGGGGAGCAAACAGG